rnacentral:rRNA from 1 species
UACGUAGGGCGCAAGCGUUGUCCGGAAUUAUUGGGCGUAAAGAGCUCGUAGGCGGUCUGUCGCGUCUGCUGUGAAAACCCGAGGCUCAACCUCGGGCCUGCAGUGGGUACGGGCAGACUAGAGUGCGGUAGGGGAGAAUGGAAUUCCUGGUGUAGCGGUGGAAUGCGCAGAUAUCGGGAGGAACACCGAUGGCGAAGGCAGUUCUCUGGGCCGUAACUGACGCUGAGGAGCGAAAGCGUGGGGAGCGAACAGG